rnacentral:snRNA from 1 species
UGUACAUCGUUGGAAAUCUCUUA